UCUAAACUCAACCACGCAUGACUCUGCUCCGUUCCGAGAAUGGCAGGGGCUCCCUCCUUGGCCAGCCUUUGGCCGUUGAACGGACAGACACACAGAUGCAAGUGUGUCCGGAAUUGGUGGGUUCUUGGUCUCACUGACUUCAAGAAUGAAGCCACGGACCCUCACAGUUCCUGGUCUCACUGGCUCAGGAGUGAAGCUGCAGACCUUGGCGGUGAGUGUUACAGCUCAUAAAAGCAGUGUGGACCCAAAGAGUGAGCAGUAGCAAGAUUUAUUGCAGAGUCAAAGAACAAAGCUUCCACACUGUGGAAGGGGACCCGAGCGGGUUGCCACUGCUGGCUGGGGCAGCCUGCUUUUAUUCUCUUAUCUGGCCCCACCCACAUCCUGCUGAUUGGUAGAGCCCAGUGGCCUGUUUUGACAGGGCGCUGAUUGGUGCGUUUACAAUCCCUGAGCUAGACAUAAAGACUCUCCACGUCCCCACCAGACUCAGGAGCCCAGCUGGCUUCACCGAGUGGAUCCCCCACAGGGGCUGCAGGUGGAGUUGCCUGCCAGUCGCGUGCCGUGCGCUUGCACUCCUCAGCCCUUGGGUGGUCAAUGGGACUGGGCACCAUGGAGCAGGGGAUGGUGCUCCUCAGGGAGGCUCCCGCCGCACAGGAGCCCAUGGAGUGGGUGGGAGGCUCAGGCAUAGCGGGCUGCAGGUCCCGAGCCCUUCCCGGCGGGAAGGCAGCUAAGGCCCCGUGAGAAAUCGAGUGCAGCGCCGGUGGGCUGGCACUGCUGGGGGACCCAGUACACCCUCUGCAGCCACUGGCCCGGGUGCUAAAUCCUUCAUUGCCCAGGGCUGGCAGGGCCUGCCGGCUGCUCUGAGUGCGGGGCCGCCAAGCCCACGCCCACCCGGAACUCCAGCUGGCCCUCAAGCGCGGGGCGCAGCCCCGGUUCCCACUCGCGCCUCUCCCUCCACACCUCCCUGCAAGCUGAGGGCGCGGCUCUGGCCUUGGCCAGCCCAGAAAGGGGCUCCCACAGUGCAGCGGUGGGCUGAAGGGCUCCUCAAGUGCCGCCAAAGUGGGAGCACAGGCAGAGGAGGCACUGAGAGUGAGCAGAGCGAGCGAGGGCUGUGAGGACUGCCAGCACGCUGUCAUCUCUCAAAACUGCUUCUUACAUAAAAAAUGACAGAUUCUUCCUUUGAUUCUGAACAAGUACACAUUACCUCUGUGGAGAUAGCAUCAGGAAGUUAUAUUUUUCAAUUUUUAUUUUAUACUAACAGAAUGUGUUAAUUUUGUAAUGAAACUAUAACAGAAGAAGCUAUAGAAGAAAAAUCUUGAUCUUGAAAUAAAGAGAAACAUAAUGAAACUAAUUUUAUAAAUAUGGAGACUGGCAAACACAAAAAUUAAAAAUUUCUCUUG